rnacentral:lncRNA from 1 species
CAUGAAUUCAAAGCUUGCAGAAGCACUAUCAUGGCUGGUUUUCCAUUUGGGGAAUUCAUUAAAUGCAACUCUGUGUGUAUCUGUUACUGGCUUCCUUUAUUCAGACAAGUGGGACUCCAGAGGAAGGAAGCUGAGUUUGGAAACCCCAGAACCCUCUCCAUGGUCUUUUCCCACCAUGCCCUAAAAGUCUCUAAAGCAGCUUUUCCCUUUUGUUCUGACUGUACCCAGUGAUCUCCUAGGACUGCUGGAAGCCAGCUGUGUGGCAGGUGCAGCUGUAUUACUGGUGGCUUUGUUGUUGAGGAGAGAUGUGGGCUUUGAGCAUCUUCAUCCCAUUAUGACUGUUUAAAUACUAACUAUAAAUUGAUUUGUAGAUGUCGGGAGAGAGUAAAGGACAGAAAUCAUAUCAUCAUAUUUUCUUACUCUAGAACGUUGAGUGCAGGGUACACACAUUGAACCAGAGAAGCCUGCAGCUGUUUCAGAGGAGAUCCCUGGAAAACAUGUUUGUGUUCCUUAAAAAUGACCACAUCCAGAAUCAUCUCAGAUGAAGCUGUUGGUCAUCAUUGCUUGUAAUUAUGACUCAGCUCACCAGGAGAGGAGGGAACAGGAUAUGGUGCUUGUGAUCUCCAAGGAUACUGUGCAGCCUGGCCAUUAGACUUCCACAGAAGUCCCAGUGCUGCUGUCACAGGAAUUCUGCCUCCUCCAAGUCUGGCUCGUGGGGCAGAGCUCUCCUGUAAGUCAGUAGCACUGAAACUGAGACUCAGGCCUGCUUCACCAGCCCUGAAACCAAUCUCCUGUUCAUUCCACCAGGUUUAGAGAAACAGCAAAUCCAUGCUUGAGAAAGACUGGUUCUUAGUGCAUGCUAUUCACACUGUGGGUCCAGAUAGACUUGAAGAGUUUGCCUAGCAUGCCUCAGGUGUUAAAGGACAAAUCUGGGAUCUUGAGAAAUGUUGAUGCUCUCUGUUCCUUCAAGUGCUCAAGGGCAAUGAAGUCAGGCAAAAACAGAAUAGCAACAACAAAACUAACACUACCCUGUCACACCCAGAACAGCUUGUCAUUGCCCAAGUCCCACAGAGGCCAGCACUGUUCCUCAGAGGCUACACCCUGAAUCCAAGCCAUUUUCAUUUGCCCAGGCAUCCUUCACCAGACCCCCCCCCACACCCCCCACCGUCUUCUUGUGUGAUGCAUCCCAUACAUAGUCUCCCAAAACACUCGGUUUAUUGCAUCUUGUUAUUCUGUGUCCAGUUGACAUCACUGGGAAGCCUGCUCUUUUCUGAAGGGAAAUGGAG